rnacentral:rRNA from 1 species
UACGUAGGGUCCGAGCGUUAAUCGGAAUUACUGGGCGUAAAGCGUGCGCAGGCGGUUUUGUAAGCCAUAUGUGAAAUCCCCGGGCUUAACCUGGGAAUGGCAUUUGGGACUGCAAGGCUUGAGUGCGGCAGAGGGAAGCGGAAUUCCGGGUGUAGCGGUGAAAUGCGUAGAUAUCAUCAGGAAUACCGGAGGCGAAGGCGGCUCACUGGGGGUCUUCUGACGCUGAGGAACGAAAGCCAGGGGAGCGAACGGG